AACCAUUACGCCAGCAUCCUAGCCGAAGCGCGGACCUCAGUCCCGGCUGGCCGUAUUACACCCUGGGCUAUAACACCUCCACCGAAGUGGAGGCCACAUUCCCAGAGCCUUUAUCCGGCCGCCGAAACUGAUGCUGGCCUGUCCAAACUGAGUAAACCGGUCAGAAGACCGGCCGAACAGUUUAAACAAGUCUGAUUGCAAGCGCUUCCCUUUCAACAAUUUCACGUGCUUUUUAACUCUCUUUCCAAAGUGCUUUUCAUCUUUCGAUCACUCUACUUGUGCGCUAUCGGUCUCUCGCCAAUAUUUAGCUUUAGAAGAAAUUUACCUCCCAUUUAGAGCUGCAUUCCCAAACAACUCGACUCGUCGAAGGAGAUUUACAUAGGGUGCCAUUUCCUGUCACAUACGGGAUUCUCACCCUCUAUGACGUCCUGUUCCAAGGAACUUAGACAGGCGGCUUCCCCAAAUCAUCCUCUACAAAUUACAAUGCGAACCCGAAGGCUAGCUUUCAAAUUUGAGCUGUUGCCGCUUCACUCGCCGUUACUAGGGCAAUCCCUGUUGG
rnacentral:rRNA from 1 species